CCUACGGGAGGCAGCAGUGGGGAAUAUUGGGCAAUGGGCGCAACCCUGACCCAGCAACGCCGCGUGAAGGAAGAAGGAUUUCGGUUUGUAAACUUCUUUUAUCAGGGACGAAGCAAGUGACGGUACCUGACGAAGCAGCCACGGCUAACUACGUGGCAGCAGCCGCGGUAAUACGUAGGUGGGAAGCGUUAUGCGGAUUUAUUGGGUGUAAAGGGGGUGUAGGCGGGAAUGCAAGUCAGAUGUGAAAACGAGGGGCUCAACCCAUAGCCUGCAUUUGAAACUGUAUUUCUGGAGUGCUGGAGAGGCAAGCGGAAUUCCGGGUGUAGCGGUGAAAUGCGUAGAUAUAAGGAGGAACACCAGCGGCGAAGGCGGAUUGCUGGACAGUAACUGACGCUGAGGCGCGAAAGCGUGGGGAGCAAACAGGAUUAGAUACCCUAGUAGUC
rnacentral:rRNA from 1 species